UUUAUAUGAGAGUUUGAUCCUGGCUCAGGAUGAACGCUGGCGGCGUGCCUAAUACAUGCAAGUCGAACGAGUUCUGAUUAUUGAAAGGUGCUUGCAUCUUGAUUUAAUUUUGAACGAGUGGCGGACGGGUGAGUAACACGUGGGUAACCUGCCCUUAAGUGGGGGAUAACAUUUGGAAACAGAUGCUAAUACCGCAUAAAUCCAAGAACCGCAUGGUUCUUGGCUGAAAGAUGGCGUAAGCUAUCGCUUUUGGAUGGACCCGCGGCGUAUUAGCUAGUUGGUGAGGUAACGGCUCACCAAGGCAAUGAUACGUAGCCGAACUGAGAGGUUGAUCGGCCACAUUGGGACUGAGACACGGCCCAAACUCCUACGGGAGGCAGCAGUAGGGAAUCUUCCACAAUGGACGCAAGUCUGAUGGAGCAACGCCGCGUGAGUGAAGAAGGCUUUCGGGUCGUAAA
rnacentral:rRNA from 2 species